AGCGCAGGUGGUUUAUUAAGUCUGGUGUAAAAGGCAGUGGCUCAACCAUUGUAUGCAUUGGAAACUGGUAGACUUGAGUGCAGGAGAGGAGAGUGGAAUUCCAUGUGUAGCGGUGAAAUGCGUAGAUAUAUGGAGGAACACCGGUGGCGAAAGCGGCUCUCUGGCCUGUAACUGACACUGAGGACUCGAAAGGCGUGGGAGCAAACA
rnacentral:rRNA from 1 species